rnacentral:rRNA from 1 species
AGGACGAACGCUGGCGGCGUGCUUAACACAUGCAAGUCGAGCGGAAAGGCCCUUCGGGGUACUCGAGCGGCGAACGGGUGAGUAACACGUGAGUAACCUGCCCCUAGCUCUGGGAUAGCUCCGGGAAACCGGGAUUAAUACCAGAUACGACCACUUUAGACAUCUGUCGUGGUGGAAAGGAUUCCGGCUAGGGAUGGGCUCGCGGCCUAUCAGCUUGUUGGUGGGGUAACGGCCUACCAAGGCGACGACGGGUAGCCGGCCUGAGAGGGCGACCGGCCGACACUGGGACUGAGACACGGCCCAGACUCCUACGGGAGGCAGCAGUGGGAAUAUUGCGCAAUGGGCGAAAGCCUGACGCAGCGACGCCGCGUGGGGGAUGAAGGCCUUCGGGUUGUAAACCCCUUUCAGCAGGGACGAAGCGAAAGUGACGGUACCUGCAGAAGAAGCGCCGGCUAACUACGUGCCAGCAGCCGC